CCUACGGGUGGCAGCAGUGGGGAAUAUUGGGCAAUGGGCGCAAGCCUGACCCAGCAACGCCGCGUGAAGGAAGAAGGCUUUCGGGUUGUAAACUUCUUUUCUCAGGGACGAAGCAAGUGACGGUACCUGAGGAAUAAGCCACGGCUAACUACGUGCCAGCAGCCGCGGUAAUACGUAGGUGGCAAGCGUUAUCCGGAUUUACUGGGUGUAAAGGGCGUGUAGGCGGGGACGCAAGUCAGAUGUGAAAACCACGGGCUCAACCUGUGGCCUGCAUUUGAAACUGUGUUUCUUGAGUACUGGAGAGGCAGACGGAAUUCCUAGUGUAGCGGUGAAAUGCGUAGAUAUUAGGAGGAACACCAGUGGCGAAGGCGGCUUUCUGGACUGAAACUGACGCUGAGGCACGAAAGCGUGGGGAGCGAACAGGAUUAGAUACCCGGGUAGUC
rnacentral:rRNA from 1 species